GAUGAACGCUGGCGGCGUGCCUAAUACAUGCAAGUCGAACGGUGGAGAGCAAUCUUCAUAGUGGCGAACGGGUGAGUAACGCGUUGGUGACCUGCCCCAAAGAAUGGGAUAACAGACCGAAAGGUUUGCUAAUACCAUAUGUGUCGUGACGGUUUAGAAACGUUACGGGAAAGGGAGAAAUCCGCUUUGGGAGGGGCCUGCGUCCCAUCAGCUAGUUGGUAAGGUAACGGCUUACCAAGGCGAUGACGGGUAGGGGACCUGAGAGGGUGGCCCCCCACAAUGGAACUGAAACACGGUCCAUACACCUACGGGUGGCAGCAGUAGGGAAUAUUGCUUAAUGGGCGCAAGCCUGAAGCAGCAACGCCGCGUGUGCGAUGAAGGCCUUCGGGUCGUAAAGUACUUUUGACUGGGACGAGGAAGGACGGUACCAGUAGAAUAAGCCUCGGCUAACUACGUGCCAGCAGCCGCGGUAAAACGUAGGAGGCGAGCGUUAUCCGGAU
rnacentral:rRNA from 1 species